UGGGGAAUAUUGCGCAAUGGGGGAAACCCUGACGCAGCAACGCCGCGUGGAGGAAGAAGGCCUUCGGGUUGUAAACUCCUGUCAUUGGGGAAGAAAAAAAUGACGGUACCCAAUGAGGAAGCCACGGCUAACUACGUGCCAGCAGCCGCGGUAAUACGUAGGUGGCAAGCGUUGUCCGGAAUUAUUGGGCGUAAAGGGCGCGUAGGCGGCCUGGUAAGUCAGAUGUGAAACCCCCGGGCUUAACUUGGGGCAUGCAUUUGAAACUUCUGGUCUUGAGUACUGGAGAGGAUGGGGGAAUUCCCGGUGUAGAGGUGAAAUUCGUAGAGAUCGGGAGGAAUAUCAGUGGCGAAGGCGCCCAUCUGGACGGUAACUGACGCUGAGACGCGAAAGCGUGGGGAGCAAACA
rnacentral:rRNA from 1 species